AUGGUGAUGCGAAGUUUGCUUGUGGAUCUCCAGGGCUGUGUAAACAGCCAGCAGCUGUACUUUGGGGAGGGUUCCAAGCUGAUUGUCCUGGGGCUGGGGGGCCGUGACUCACAGACCCAGUACUUCGGGCCGGGCACGCGGCUCCUGGUGCUAGGUGAGUGCGGGCGGGCGGGCACGGUUUCUGGGGGGAGCCCGGGGGCUGUGCUUCCAGCAGCCGCCCUGACCUUCGGGGCCGGCAGCCGGCUGGCCGUGCCGGAGGACCUGAGCCAGGUCAAACCACCCAAGGUGGCUGUGUUCGAGCCAUCGGAAGCAGAGAUCUCCCGGACCCAGAAGGCCACGCUCGUGUGCCUGGCCACAGGCUUCUACCCCGACCACGUGGAGCUGAGCUGGUGGGUGAACGGGAAGGAGGUCCAGAGCGGGGUCAGCACGGACCCGCAGCCCUACAGGGAGGACCCCAACCUCAGUGACUCCACCUACUGUCUGAGCAGCCGGCUGAGGGUCUCCGCUACCUUCUGGCACAACCCCCGCAACCACUUCCGCUGCCAAGUCCACUUCCACGGGCUCACGGACAAGGACCGGGACCAGUGGAAGGAGGACUGGCCCAUGCCCGUCUCCCAGAACGUCAGUGCCGAGGCCUGGGGCCGAGCAGACUGUGGCUUCACCUCGGUGUCCUAUCAGCAAGGGGUCCUGUCUGCCACCCUCCUCUAUGAGAUCCUUCUGGGGAAGGCCACCCUGUAUGCUGUGCUGGUCAGCGCCCUCGUGCUCAUGGCCAUGGUCAAGAGAAAGGAUUCCUGAGCCAGCUCAGAGGAGGAGCCAGGAGCCUCCAGCCUGUUAUUGCCCUGAUAUCAGUACUCCUGUUUCCGUUCCUACCCGGUGUUUCUGAAGAGCCCCUUCAUCUCUACCUGCUCAUCCCAGCAUGUACCCGCCACGUGUGUGCACACCUACACACUCAUGACCGGAAUGCCCUGGCCCACGGGGGGCCCUAGCCUGCCUGGACCGAGUGACCAAUAAACAUGGCCUGUUCUGGCUGACUCUG